CCACCAGUUCCCAUAUGAUCACUGAAGUUAAGCAAUGUUGAACCUGGUCAGUACCUAGAUGGGUGACCACUUGGGAAUACCAGGUCCUGUAAG